CUGGUGACUUUGAUGGCUCCGUCACAGCAGGUCCCAUGCUGUGGUUCUUACAUAUCCUGCUGCUGGGCUGUGGAGAUGUGGCUGAGUGCAUGAUGCAGAUUCCGCCUCCUCUUUGCCAGCUGCCAAUUCACUGGAGCUGGUUGAAACACUUGGAAAUCUGAAUUUUCUUUGUUCCUGAUUGACCAGACCUUAUAAUUCACAUUUAAGGACGCUUUAAAAAGGCUACAGCUGCCCAGCAAAAUGGUGAACUUUUAAAAAAAUAUGGUUAUGACAAGGUUUGAGGACCCUGAUCGGUUAUAUUCAGAGAGAAACAAAGGGAAUGGGGUCAAAAUGACAGCAACGGAAAUCUUAAAAUAACUAAAGAGUAUUGCGUCUAUCAUUUCCCUUGGGAGAUUUCCAUGAUCUUCUGCUGUGGGUUUACUAGGCCCUUUCCUCUGCUGGUCACCUCUGCCCUGAUGCUCUCCUGAAAUAGGCUCCCGCUCUAACGUGUUGCUGACGAUAUCUGUCUUAGUUUCGUACUGCCACUCAUCACUGCAGUAUCCAAGUGCCUUCCACAUAAAAUCCUCAGCACCAGACUCUAGAUUCUAGAGCCCCUCGGAAUAAAGUAGAGCAGUUUAGGGGCUGAUCCAACUGGCAAAGGUCCCUAUGGGAUCUGUGAAUUGGCACAACGCAGGCAUACUUUGCCCCAUGCUCCCACCACCCCAACACACUCCUUCCUCCCCUCAAAGCAAGGCUGGAGGAUGGGAGGGAGGUGGGGUGGAACCUAGCUACGUCAUUCCAUAAGAUCUGAGAGCUCCCCAUGCCAGAAAUUCUCAGCUGGCCCGCUUGGACCGGACUCCCCCUCCUUGCAUUCCCUGAGUGGGACAAAGUGGCCAGAACAGAAGGAAAGAGGUGUAGAUUUUCCCUUGCUCAGUUCCAUCUCAUUCCUUCUAGGUGCACUGUCCAGUGAGGCAGAGGAAAGAUUUGGGGGCCUCUCUUUAGUGUACUCAGGGCUACCCAGCCCAAGACGGCUCCAGCUAGAACUGGUUGAAAAAAUUUCACCGAAACGUUUUCCCAUCAGCAAAUGCAGUUUUAUAUCAUAGAAUCUCAGGGUUGGAAGGGACCUCAGGAGGUCAUCUAGUCCAACCCCCUGCUCAAAGCAGGACCCCCAGACAGAUUUUUACCCCAGUUCCCUAAAUGGCCCCCUCAAGAAUUGAACUCAAAACCCUGGGUUUAGCAGACCAAUGCACAAAGCACUGAGCUAUCCCUUUUGCAGGAAUGUCACUUUCCAUUGAAAU
rnacentral:lncRNA from 1 species